UGGUCGUGAUAUAGGUGCGAGCAAAUGUAAAGUUGGCUUGUUUCUUGUUUAGGUAAAAGGUCGAUUUCGUGUAUUGGUCAGUUUGUUACCUGGUGAUAAUAAUGGGAACAGUAGCAGUGACCAAUCAGGAAGCGAGAGUGAUGAAGAAAGUUGUGACGAAACUGAGGAAAACUAACACUCUAAUUCACGUUUUAGGGGGAGUUACUAUUUUUAGACUUUUAGGGUUUAGGGUUUGGAUUAGGGAAAGGGUUAUGAUUAGGGUUAGGAUUAGAGUAAGGGUUAGGGUGAAGUUUAAAAUACAAAAGAAUACAAAAUUACGAAAGUCUGAAAAUAAUAACUCCCCGUAACAUUGUAUAUGGUUACAACGAGCUGAUUGUACUUUUGCUUGUUCCCAGCUUGUUGACAAGUUUUCAACGACUUGAAAUUGCUACAAUUCAAAAGAUUUCACAAACUUGCUACAAGUUUUUCAACAACGUGUUACAGACAUUAAAUUCAGCAAUAUCGUAUAAACCUUCAAGUUGUUAGUUGCAAUCUUACAAUUCAACAUCAAUAACCAAAAUUAUAGAUUUGUAAUCAUCCUCCCGAAAUGGACAAAAAUUGGGGACAGUGUUUAGGGGAGUAAGAGAAAAACAAAAGGCCACGGCAGCUUUGUUUUGCGAAAUAAAUGUCUUCGAUUUUCUUCCCCUGCACCUGUCAUUUUACCUGAUUUUUUUGCACAUAUGUUGGCAUUUAAUUAGGGCCAUUGUUGCAUUAUAUCCUUCUUUGUAA